CCUGACGUCAUCUUAUAUCCAAUAUAUUUAUUAAGAACAUAAAGUUUGCUGCACACAGGUUUCAAUAAAGUUAUCAAUGUUCACAAUAAUUGUCAACUAAUCCGAAAACCAGACGGCCAUUAGGAAUAACACGUCUUCACCCAAACAACUGACACAAACUUUGAAAGGAGCAAAUAGUAAAGUACAUUGUCCUUAAAUAUACACAGUAGAA